rnacentral:rRNA from 1 species
GUGAGGAAUAUUGGACAAUGGAGGAAACUCUGAUCCAGCCAUGCCGCGUGAGUGAUGACGGCCUUCGGGUUGUAAAGCUCUUUCGGGUGUGAAAAUGAUGAUGGUAACACAAGAAGAAGCCCCGGCUAACUCCGUGCCAGCAGCCGCGGUAAUACGGAGGGGGCGAGCGUUGUUCGGAAUCACUGGGCGUAAAGCGUGCGUAGGCGGUUAUACAAGUCAGGAGUGAAAUCCCAGGGCUCAACCUUGGAAUUGCUUUUGAGACUGUAUGACUAGAGGUCUAGAGAGGUUGGGGGAAUUCCGAGUGUAGAGGUGAAAUUCGCAGAUAUUCGGAGGAACACCAGUGGCGUAGGCGCCCAACUGGCUAGAUACUGACGCUUAGGCACGAAAGCGUGGGUAGCAAACAGGAUUAGAACCCCCUGUAGUCC